rnacentral:rRNA from 1 species
CCUACGGGUGGCAGCAGUGGGGAAUAUUGCGCAAUGGGCGAAAGCCUGACGCAGCGACGCCGCGUGAGGGAUGAAGGUCUUCGGAUCGUAAACCUCUGUCAGCAGGGAAGAACGGUCACUGUGCUAAUCAGCAGAGAAUCGACGGUACCUGCCACGGAAGCACCGGCUAACUCCGUGCCAGCAGCCGCGGUAAUACGGAGGGUGCGAGAGUUAAUCGGAAUUACUGGGCGAAAAGCGAUCGUAGGCGGUAAUGCAAGUCAAGGGUGAAAUCCCGGCGCGCAACGUGGGGACUGCCUUUGAAACUGGCAAACUGGAGUGUGGGAGAGGGUAGUGGAAUUCCAGGUGUAGGGGUGAAAUGCGUAGAUAUCUGGAGGAACAGCAGUGGCGAAGGCGGCUAUCUGGCACGUAACUGACGCUGAGGAGCGAAAGCGUGGGUAGCAAACAGGAUUAGAUACCCCAGUAGUC